GCGGAAGGAUCAUUAACGAGUUAAUUGAACAGGUUGUAGCUGGCCCCCAGGGGCAUGUGCACGCCUGGCUCAUCCACUCUUCAACCUCUGUGCACUUCUUGUAGGUCGGCGGAAGGACGAGUCUGGUUUCAUUACUGUGACUUGCUUGGAAGCCUUCCUAUGUCUUUACAAACGCUUCAGUUUAAGAAUGUAAUCUGCGUACAACGCAUCUAUAUACAACUUUCAGCAACGGAUCUCUUGGCUCUCGCAUCGAUGAAGAACGCAGCGAAAUGCGAUAAGUAAUGUGAAUUGCAGAAUUCAGUGAAUCAUCGAAUCUUUGAACGCACCUUGCGCUCCCUGGUAUUCCGGGGAGCAUGCCUGUUUGAGUGUCAUGGUACUCUCAACCUUCAUAACUUUGUUGUUAUCGAAGGCUUGGAUUUGGAGGUUGUGCUGGCUUCUUGUCAAGUCGGCUCCUCUUAAAUGGAUUAGCGUGAGUGUAACGGAUCGCUUCGGUGUGAUAAUUAUCUGCGCCGUGGUCGUGAAGUAACAUCAGCUUGUGCUUCUAACCGUCCUUCAGCUGGACAAAUUUACUCUGACAUCUGGCCUCAAAUCAGGUAGGACUACCCGCUGAACUUAAGCAUAUCAU
rnacentral:sRNA from 1 species